GAUGAACGCUGGCGGCGUGCCUAAUACAUGCCAGUCGAGCGAACAGACGAGGAGCUUGCUCCUCUGACGUUAGCGGCGGACGGGUGAGUAACACGUGGAUAACCUACCUAUAAGACUGGGAUAACUUCGGGAAACCGGAGCUAAUACCGGAUAAUAUAUUGAACCGCAUGGUUCAAUAGUGAAAUACGGUUUUGCUGUCACUUAUAGAUGGAUCCGCGCCGCAUUAGCUAGUUGGUAAGGUAACGGCUUACCAAGGCAACGAUGCGUAGCCGACCUGAGAGGGGGAUCGGCCACACUGGAACUGAGACACGGUCCAGACUCCUACGGGAGGCAGCAGUAGGGAAUCUGACGCAAUGGGCGAAAGCCUGACGGAGCAACGCCGCGUGAGUGAUGAAGGUCUUCGGAUCGUAAAACUCUGUUAUUAGGGAAGAACAAAUGUGUAAGUAAAUAUGCACGUCUUGACGGUACCUAAUCAGAAAGCCACGGCUAACUACGUG
rnacentral:rRNA from 1 species